ensembl:lncRNA
GAUAGAGUGUGUAGGAAGAGGUUGUGUGGGUGGUUGUUAUUGGUUUCUGUCAGAGAACCGUGACCUAAGGUGAUGGACUUCAGGAUUUUUAUGCUGUGGCGGACAGAAUUUUUCCAUGGUCCCCUCUGGUUUGUGAGACAUCCGCAGUUUGAAAAACCCUGGUGUAAAG